rnacentral:rRNA from 1 species
UCAAGGCGACGACGGGUAGCCGGCCUGAGAGGGCGACCGGCCACACUGGGACUGAGACACGGCCCAGACUCCUACGGGAGGCAGCAGUGGGGAAUAUUGCACAAUGGGCGAAAGCCUGAUGCAGCGACGCCGCGUGAGGGAUGACGGCCUUCGGGUUGUAAACCUCUUUCAGCAGGGAAGAAGCGAAAGUGACGGUACCUGCAGAAGAAGCGCCGGCUAACUACGUGCCAGCAGCCGCGGUAAUACGUAGGGCGCAAGCGUUGUCCGGAAUUAUUGGGCGUAAAGAGCUCGUAGGCGGCUUGUCACGUCGGAUGUGAAAGCCCGGGGCUUAACCCCGGGUCUGCAUUCGAUACGGGCUAGCUAGAGUGUGGUAGGGGAGAUCGGAAUUCCUGGUGUAGCGGUGAAAUGCGCAGAUAUCAGGAGGAACACCGGUGGCGAAGGCGGAUCUCUGGGCCAUUACUGACGCUGAGGAGCGAAAGCGUGGGGAGCGAACAGGAUUAGAUACCCUGGUAGUCCACGCCGUAAACGUUGGGAACUAGGUGUUGGCGACAUUCCACGUCGUCGGUGCCGCAGCUAGCGGCAUUUGUCAGUUU